AAUGAAUGAUGACAAAAUGUUUCGGUCCCAAAUGACAUGGAAUGAUUCUAUUUGCCCAUUUUCUGACAUU
rnacentral:snoRNA from 1 species